AGCGUACACGGUGGAUGCCCUGGCAGUCAGAGGCGAUGAAGGACGUGCUAAUCUGCGAUAAGCGUCGGUAAGGUGAUAUGAACCGUUAUAACCGGCGAUUUCCGAAUGGGGAAACCCAGUGUGUUUCGACACACUAUCAUUAACUGAAUCCAUAGGUUAAUGAGGCGAACCGGGGGAACUGAAACAUCUAAGUACCCCGAGGAAAAGAAAUCAACCGAGAUUCCCCCAGUAGCGGCGAGCGAACGGGGAGGAGCCCAGAGCCUGAAUCAGUGUGUGUGUUAGUGGAAGCGUCUGGAAAGGCGCGCGAUACAGGGUGACAGCCCCGUACACAAAAAUGCACAUGCUGUGAGCUCGAUGAGUAGGGCGGGACACGUGGUAUCCUGUCUGAAUAUGGGGGGACCAUCCUCCAAGGCUAAAUACUCCUGACUGACCGAUAGUGAACCAGUACCGUGAGGGAAAGGCGAAAAGAACCCCGGCGAGGGGAGUGAAAAAGAACCUGAAACCGUGUACGUACAAGCAGUGGGAGCACGCUUAGGCGUGUGACUGCGUACCUUUUGUAUAAUGGGUCAGCGACUUAUAUUCUGUAGCAAGGUUAACCGAAUAGGGGAGCCGAAGGGAAACCGAGUCUUAACUGGGCGUUAAGUUGCAGGGUAUAGACCCGAAACCCGGUGAUCUAGCCAUGGGCAGGUUGAAGGUUGGGUAACACUAACUGGAGGACCGAACCGACUAAUGUUGAAAAAUUAGCGGAUGACUUGUGGCUGGGGGUGAAAGGCCAAUCAAACCGGGAGAUAGCUGGUUCUCCCCGAAAGCUAUUUAGGUAGCGCCUCGUGAAUUCAUCUCCGGGGGUAGAGCACUGUUUCGGCAAGGGGGUCAUCCCGACUUACCAACCCGAUGCAAACUGCGAAUACCGGAGAAUGUUAUCACGGGAGACACACGGCGGGUGCUAACGUCCGUCGUGAAGAGGGAAACAACCCAGACCGCCAGCUAAGGUCCCAAAGUCAUGGUUAAGUGGGAAACGAUGUGGGAAGGCCCAGACAGCCAGGAUGUUGGCUUAGAAGCAGCCAUCAUUUAAAGAAAGCGUAAUAGCUCACUGGUCGAGUCGGCCUGCGCGGAAGAUGUAACGGGGCUAAACCAUGCACCGAAGCUGCGGCAGCGACGCUGAUGCGUUGUUGGGUAGGGGAGCGUUCUGUAAGCCUGUGAAGGUGUGCUGUGAGGCAUGCUGGAGGUAUCAGAAGUGCGAAUGCUGACAUAAGUAACGAUAAAGCGGGUGAAAAGCCCGCUCGCCGGAAGACCAAGGGUUCCUGUCCAACGUUAAUCGGGGCAGGGUGAGUCGACCCCUAAGGCGAGGCCGAAAGGCGUAGUCGAUGGGAAACAGGUUAAUAUUCCUGUACUUGGUGUUACUGCGAAGGGGGGACGGAGAAGGCUAUGUUGGCCGGGCGACGGUUGUCCCGGUUUAAGCGUGUAGGCUGGUUUUCCAGGCAAAUCCGGAAAACUAAGGCUGAGGCGUGAUGACGAGGCACUACGGUGCUGAAGCAACAAAUGCCCUGCUUCCAGGAAAAGCCUCUAAGCAUCAGGUAACAUCAAAUCGUACCCCAAACCGACACAGGUGGUCAGGUAGAGAAUACCAAGGCGCUUGAGAGAACUCGGGUGAAGGAACUAGGCAAAAUGGUGCCGUAACUUCGGGAGAAGGCACGCUGAUAUGUAGGUGAAGUCCCUCGCGGAUGGAGCUGAAAUCAGUCGAAGAUACCAGCUGGCUGCAACUGUUUAUUAAAAACACAGCACUGUGCAAACACGAAAGUGGACGUAUACGGUGUGACGCCUGCCCGGUGCCGGAAGGUUAAUUGAUGGGGUCAGCGCAAGCGAAGCUCUUGAUCGAAGCCCCGGUAAACGGCGGCCGUAACUAUAACGGUCCUAAGGUAGCGAAAUUCCUUGUCGGGUAAGUUCCGACCUGCACGAAUGGCGUAAUGAUGGCCAGGCUGUCUCCACCCGAGACUCAGUGAAAUUGAACUCGCUGUGAAGAUGCAGUGUACCCGCGGCAAGACGGAAAGACCCCGUGAACCUUUACUAUAGCUUGACACUGAACAUUGAGCCUUGAUGUGUAGGAUAGGUGGGAGGCUUUGAAGUGUGGACGCCAGUCUGCAUGGAGCCGACCUUGAAAUACCACCCUUUAAUGUUUGAUGUUCUAACGUUGACCCGUAAUCCGGGUUGCGGACAGUGUCUGGUGGGUAGUUUGACUGGGGCGGUCUCCUCCUAAAGAGUAACGGAGGAGCACGAAGGUUGGCUAAUCCUGGUCGGACAUCAGGAGGUUAGUGCAAUGGCAUAAGCCAGCUUGACUGCAAGCGUGACGGCGCGAGCAGGUGCGAAAGCAGGUCAUAGUGAUCCGGUGGUUCUGAAUGGAAGGGCCAUCGCUCAACGGAUAAAAGGUACUCCGGGGAUAACAGGCUGAUACCGCCCAAGAGUUCAUAUCGACGGCGGUGUUUGGCACCUCGAUGUCGGCUCAUCACAUCCUGGGGCUGAAGUAGGUCCCAAGGGUAUGGCUGUUCGCCAUUUAAAGUGGUACGCGAGCUGGGUUUAGAACGUCGUGAGACAGUUCGGUCCCUAUCUGCCGUGGGCGCUGGAGAACUGAGGGGGGCUGCUCCUAGUACGAGAGGACCGGAGUGGACGCAUCACUGGUGUUCGGGUUGUCAUGCCAAUGGCACUGCCCGGUAGCUAAAUGCGGAAGAGAUAAGUGCUGAAAGCAUCUAAGCACGAAACUUGCCCCGAGAUGAGUUCUCCCUGACUCCUUGA
rnacentral:rRNA from 1 species